rnacentral:misc_RNA from 1 species
AACAUCUCCUUCUCGCCUCUUCAUUUGUUGGUGCGAGCAUGUUCUCGGCCAAAAUCGGGUUGCCUGUGCUAGAUACCUAUCUCGAAGGAAUUUUGUUGGCUAUAAUUGUUGGCUUUCCGUGGUGUGCCGCUGCUCCUUGCGGGGAAAGUGGUGUGCUGCGGACCUCAAGGCACUCGCCGUGUUUCACACCGUGUCCACCUAUACAGGUGUUUCGGUUGAUGAGCCACGUCGCAAUGCUCGAUAUCUCGGGUGCGGAACAUCAUGUGGGUACGAGGCUUUUGCCUCCGAUCACCACAACAACAAGCGUUCUAUGCUUUGUGCGAACGACUGUUGGCUCGGUCUUUAAACGAGCUCUAGUAGCUCGAAUGGAGUCGAGCCGACGUCGG